CGUAUGCCAACCUACCUAGUCAGAGGGGAACUAACCCGGCGAAAGUCGGACUAAUACCGCAUAAAACAGGGGCACCGCAUGGUGAUAUUUGUUAAAGAGAUUCGCUGAUAGAUGGGCAUGCGUUCCAUUAGGUAGUUGGUGAGGUAACGGCUCACCAAGCCGACGAUGGAUAGGGAACUGAGAGGUUGGUCCCCCACACUGGUACUGAGACACGGACCAGACUCCUACGGGAGGCAGCAGUGAGGAAUAUUGGUCAAUGGGCGGGAGCCUGAACCAGCCAAGUCGCGUGAAGGAAGAAGGAUCUAUGGUUCGCAAACUUCUUUUGCAGGGGAAUAAAGUGCAGGACGUGUCCUGUUUUGUAUGUACCCUGAGAAUAAGGAUCGGCUAACUCCGUGCCAGCCGCCGC
rnacentral:rRNA from 1 species